CUUUGUGGACUGCUCUAUCCCCAUCAGGCUAUGGCACAUUCCUUACAUUCUGGGGUUGAGAUACAUAGUUUGUUUUCUGUGGGGGCUGUCAGGGCAGGGGGGAGGAAGGCAGAGAGCAUCCCAGAAAUCAAGGUCUUGCUCCCUGACUGACUUGGCCCAGAGGUGGAUUCCCAUGUGAGCAGUUGGAAAGUCAUCUCCACCCAUCCCUUCCUUGCAAACACCUCUCCUGGCUAUCACGCUAGGGCACAGCAUCUCACAGCAUUGGAGAGCACGCUGUCCCCCUGCUGCUGGCUCCCAAAGGCCUUGACGGGCAAUGAAGCAGGCAAUGCAGUUGACACAGUGUGGCUGAAUUUCAGAAAAAUCUCCAAGGAGAUCACUCAAAGGACAAGCAAUUCCUUACAAGGUUACACAGAGGCAUGUCCGAUCCAACAGCCAAGCUCAAGGAUCCCUGCUCACUCUGCGUUCCCUGCAGGUGCAGAGCAAAGGUUGGUGGAGAGCAGCCCCAACAUAAAGUGAGGGUCAGAGGAGGCGGGAUGCUGAUGAGCUUGGGUUGCAGGCUCCCUGGAGGCAGAGCCUGGGUCAGUCUCACAGGCAUUAAGGAAGGCAGUGGUCUGGUUGAGUUAUGCUCGGUGAGGAGCACUGGGUCACAAUGAGAGGGACGGGAUGAGAGUCACACUCAUCCAAAGAGUCAGCAGCAUUCACAGCUCACUUUGGUGCAGCCUCAGGGCUGGGUAUCAGAAAUAGAUUUACGUUUCUGAUGCUGACUGAUCUUGAAUUGCAGGCAUGUAGUGUUUAGCAUAAGCCGGGCACUCCUUAUACAAUGUUUUAUGUAAAUGCAUAAUGGCCCCAUCAGUGGGCAGCAGGGUUUCUUCUUGGUUGAGGGAAUGGAUGAAGGCUUAACUUAUCUUACUCUCCCAUUUAUGAUGUCAGGUUCAGGGACUCCCCACACACACACUUACCAAUGUCAGCUUCAGAACCCCUCACCCCUCUCCUUAUGAACACCAGGCUCAGGGACACACACAUACAGGCAUGCACACAUGUACAUGCACACACAUAUCAGAUUCAACACUUGAGUGAUAUCUAGUUGACUCUACGACAAGGAACAUCACCUUUCUCAUAGAAGGGUUCCUUCCUGCGACUACCAGGAUGCACAUGGAAAGCCUGGGUGGUCCGUUACUGAGGCCUCAGAGCCCAUGGCUACUUGUAGACCUGAGUAGGGAAGGCUGGGGGUGGAGCCCUAGGGAAGAGAUCCGAGUAGGGAAGGUUGGGGGUCUCACUGAUCACACUAUGGUGUGAUGUUUACUCUUUGCACAUCUAUUUAUUAUGUCCCUUGGCCUUCCCUCAUGAAAGCCCAGCUGAAUAGCAUGGGCCCCAGAUGGAAGACUAAGUGUUCCAUUAGAACCAUCCCAAAACUCAGAAAUGUAUGAGAUGAGAAACCAUGGUCUAACUUGCACAUGCAAACAGGUACUCAGACUUAUCAUUUCUCUUGAUAUGUUUGCACAUGCGUCAUCUAUGGUGGCAGGGACAGUCAGAAACUAUACAUGGGCAAGGCCAACCUUUGGAAGGAUUCCGCAGGCCAGCUGCCAUAGAGGAUGUUAUGUGUGAGCUACUGGAUUGACGUGCACAUGUGGGCAAGUCUAAAACAAAGAGUUCCUUACUGAGGAAAUCACUGCUCACCUUGAGAUGCAAGAAACCAAUGCAGCUCUGCUUUUAAAUAACUGAGACUGAUUUAUUUAAAUAAACAAAUUCCAGGCAGAGAAGGCAACAAGAGCAAAGGUCCUGCGGCAGGAAGUCACUUGGCGUGUGAAGGAGGUUAGUGAGCCAGGGAAGCACAUUGAGAUGAGGUCAGUGAAAGCAGCAGCUGCAGGCCAAAUUGUGACAGUGUCCAUGCUUGGCAGUAGCAGUGAGCCAUAGCUCCCUGUCGGCCACAGGACCACGAGGAUUAACAGUCCAUCCCCAACGGGACACUGUAUGGUUAAAUUAGAUUGUGCAGCAGAUUAGGUGUAUUAAGUGCAUUACAGUUUGUUCUUUUUUUCUUUCUUUCUUUCUUUCUUUCUUUCUUUCUUUCUUUCUUUCUUUGUUCUUUAAUGGUACUGGAGUUCAAGCCUAGAGCCUUGCACAUGCUUGGUGAAUGCUGUAACACCUAGCCACACCGCCAGCCUGUUUAUGACAUUGUCAUAUCACAGUGGAUCUGCUCCCUCCUAAAUUCCUUCACAGCAACAUCUAAACUAGUAUUUGAUCAAACAGCUGGGUACCAUGGCCUGGGGAACUUGACACAUAAAAUGAACCAUCACAAAAGACAUAUUCAUAUACAGAAUGUAUGACAGAGAAAAAUCCAAUGAAAGAGAUUUUAAGUUUUGUCUGAUCCAAUAAUUAAUCUAUUUUAUUGAAAAGUUGAACUCUGAGAAAGAGAAGCUUUGUCUGUUGAAACCAAGAGUUUGCUUUUCUACCUAGAACAUUCAGAGACCUCAGUACAUGCAAGUGAAUAGAGGCCAGGGAGUCUGGAGUUCAGGGGGACUCGUCAGCCAGAGGUGGCUGCAUGGGGGCUUAUCAAUGUGUGGACAGUUUUAAAAGUCGUGGGAUUAGAUGGGAUUAUCUAAGAGAGGGUCAGAAGGAAAGAUCAUAGAGGACGUCUCAAGACUCAACUAUGUAAACACACUAGUCUUUAUAGAAAUAAGAGAGGGGGGAAAACCAACAGAAGAAACUGAGCAGUGGCUGGUGGGAAGAUGUAAACCCAGAGAGUGUCUCAGAAGUCAAAUGAAGAAAAUAUCUCAAAGAAGGAAGGAAUCAGCUAUGCCAGUGUUGUAGGUAGAGAACUGACUACUAGACGUCUUGGCCAGGCCACGCACAGAGAAGAGUGAGCAGACAGACUUCACAGUGUAUAUUACAAGAAAAGGGGAAAUGCAGCCAGGCUUCAUUUCACACCAUCACCAUCGCCACCGAAUAGUUUCUGUUUCCUUAACAUUCGGCGGUGCUUAAACGCUCUAAGAGUCAGCAACUGAUGGAAAUGAGUGAAGCCAGCCAGUCCCAAGGCUGAGGCAACAACAGGGGUGAUGGGCACACUAGAGUCCCGUGAACCAGAAAUCCAGCCUGUGCGUAAACCUCCCGACUCUGAAAGGCUCACAAACUAAUUUUAAAAACGAUCUAUGGUCCUAUACGGCUGUUAUACAGGGUAGACAACGUGCCUGCAAAUCAAAUCUAGUCCAAGAGUGGCAGGUUUGCCACUUCAGAUGUACAAGUAACUUUUUCUUGGAAAGUGUACUCUCUAGUUGAAGUAGUAAUAAUUUAAGUACUAUAGUUUUAGGAACUAUAGAUCUGAGAACUGAGAACUAUAGAUCUAUAGAACUGAGAAGAUCCUAUCAUAAUACAAUAUAUAAUAUAUAUUACUAUAUAUAGAGAGAUUCCCUAUAGCCAAUGCACCAGUAAAUUCUGACUGCUCAGGCUACGAAAACUCCAUCUAUCUUAAUUCUUUCUGCAUUGAUUGAUGGGCAUUUUUCUUCCAUUAAUGUCUAGUUUUGUCUCUCCAGUGAUUGUCAAGCGCCACUAAGUGAAAGCCAUAUUGCUUUUUGCUCACUACUUUAUUCCCAAAAUUAUGUAUACACUAAGUUCUCAUCCCUACCUAGGACCUCAGAAUGUGGCUGUUUUUGAAAGUAUGGUUGCCGUACAUGCCAUUGGUUAAGAUGACAGCACACUGGACUAGGAAAGUUCAAAGAUACGGUGGCGACUGAGGAGCAGGUUAGCACUUCUCAAAGGGGAAAUAGGGAAGCGUCAUGGAGCAGGGAAUUGGAGGAGACUGAACGAUAGAAUUUUGACAGGCAAAAAGAAGAGGAGGUGAGAGAAUCCUGAUUAAGGUUAAACCUUUAGCCUCAAGCUAGGACCUGCCCUAGGAGAGUGUGGGGCAGAAUCAUCUUUUCAUUCGAAAUAGCUGUGUGCCUGAUUUUAAAGGGAGCCAGUGGCACAGAUAUGAUCACAAUAUAGCUCUUAAUUUCCUACUCAUUCAUAUAUUUGUCUGCUUAUUCAUUUAACACUGUUGUUUGCCUUAAAAGUUGUUUUGUCGUGGACAUUGAUUAUAUUAAAUACUAAAAAAAAAGUUAUAUUAAA